UACGUAGGUGGCGAGCGUUGUCCGGAUUUACUGGGCGUAAAGGGAGCGUAGGCGGACUUUUAAGUGAGAUGUGAAAUACUCGGGCUCAACUUGAGUGCUGCAUUUCAAACUGGAAGUCUAGAGUGCAGGAGAGGAGAAUGGAAUUCCUAGUGUAGCGGUGAAAUGUGUAGAGAUUAGGAAGAACACCAGUGGCGAAGGCGAUUCUCUGGACUGUAACUGACGCUGAGGCUCGAAAGCGUGGGGAGCAAACAGG
rnacentral:rRNA from 1 species